CCUACGGGUGGCUGCAGUGAGGAAUAUUGGUCAAUGGGCGAAAGCCUGAACCAGCCAAGUAGCGUGAAGGAUGACGGCCCUACGGGUUGUAAACCUCUUUUGUAAGGGAAUAAAAUGCUCCACGUGUGGCGUUUUGCAUGUACCAUACGAAUAAGGAUCGGCUAACUCCGUGCCAGCAGCCGCGGUAAUACGGAGGAUCCGAGCGUUAUCCGGAUUUAUUGGGUUUAAAGGGAGCGUAGGCGGUGAGUUAAGUCAGUCGUUAAAGUUGGCGGCUCAACCGCAACAGUGCAGUUGAAACUGGCAGUCUUGAGUACACUAGAGGUAGGCGGAAUUCGUGGUGUAGCGGUGAAAUGCAUAGAUAUCACGAAGAACCCCGAUUGCGAAGGCAGCUUACUGGAGUGCGACUGACACUGAGGCUCGAAAGUGUGGGUAUCAAACAGGAUUAGAUACCCGAGUAGUC
rnacentral:rRNA from 1 species